rnacentral:tRNA from 1 species
AGGCGAUUAGCUCAGCUGGUUAGAGCGCACCUCUGAUAAGGGUGAGGUCCCAAGUUCAAGUCUUGGAUCGCCUA